AGUGAACGCUGGCGGUAGGCCUAACACAUGCAAGUCGAACGGCAGCACAGUAAGAGCUUGCUCUUACGGGUGGCGAGUGGCGGACGGGUGAGGGGUACAUCGGAAUCUACUUUUUCGUGGGGGAUAACGUAGGGAAACUUACGCUAAUACCGCAUACGACCUACGGGUGAAAGCAGGGGAGCUUCGGACCUUGCGCGAUUGAAUGAGCCGAUGUCGGAUUAGCUAGUUGGCGGGGUAAAGGCCCACCAAGGCGACGAUCCGUAGCUGGUCUGAGAGGAUGAUCGGCCACACUGGAACUGAGACACGGUCCAGACUCCUACGGGAGGCAGCAGUGGGGAAUAUUGGACAAUGGGCGCAAGCCUGAUCCAGCAAUACCGCGUGAGUGAAGAAGGCCUUCGGGUUGUAAAGCCCUUUUGUUGGGAAAGAAAAGCAGCAGGUUAAUACCCCGCUGUUCUGACGGUACCCAAAGAAUAAGCACCGGCUAACUUCGUG
rnacentral:rRNA from 1 species